GCCCUCUUAGUUAAAUGGAUAUAACAAGCCCCUCCUAAGGGCUAGUUGUGUGUUCGAUUCACGCAGGGGGUGCCA
rnacentral:tRNA from 2 species